UUGUUGUUGCCUUCGAACAUGACCGUGAACACGUAACAUAAUGCUACCGGGGAGGAGAUCUCCUCGGCCCUGCCGGCCUUGGCCUUUUGGCCCGGUGCCGGAAUACGGCGCGGGAUGUCGCCAAGGAACACUGAUUUGCUGCGGCAGUCGGCAUUACGCUCGCACUGCUAAGGCUAACUUAACAUUAUGACUCUCGGCAAUGGAUAUCUAGGCUCUCGCAUCGAUGAAGAACGUAGCGAAAUGCGAUACGUGGUGUGAAUUGCAGAAUCCCGUGAACCAUCGAGUUUUUGAACGCAAGUUGCGCCCGAGGGAUCCUCCCAAGGGCACGCCUGCCUGGGCGUUAGAAGCCCAUCAACGCUCGGUCAAUUCACCUAGUGAUAGGGGAUUGCCUUGACGCGGACAAUGGCCCUCCGAGCCACAAGUAGCACGGUGGGCUGAAGUGAUCGGUCGUCGGAUGGUGACGGGAUCGGCGAGUGGUGGGCUAACUGCGCAUGCCAACCUCGGCCUCCAUCUGAACAUAAGGCCUUUUGUGACCCCAUAACGAGGAGAUUGUCGUCGCAGCAUAUUUGCUGCGCGUCAUCUUCGGAUUUACACCCCAGGUCAGGCGGGGCCACCCGCUGAGUUU
rnacentral:rRNA from 1 species